AUGACGGCCGAUCCGACCAGCCGAGACGAUCCCUUGGCCUUGCCGGAGAAGAAGAAGAAGGUGAGUGUGCGGAGAGACGAGGCAUCAUUGCCUGAUCCAGACGCGUGGAUUCUCAGCGAUGCCGACUUGGCCAGGAUGGAACGCGACCAGAAAUCAGCUCCACCGCCUGUGAAAAUCCCUACGCUCGAUUACUUCAAACCCCCGACCCGGUUUCACACCGCCGAGGUCUUCGCCGUCCGUGAUUCAAGCGAGGCCGCGCUCUCUGCUGCCAGAUUUCUCCUAGGGGUUUCAUCCUCUCUUGAUGGUGAACCGCUGAGACGCUGCUCCGGCUUCUUGGUUGAUUGGGAUGAGGAGAAGAAAGCCGGCCUUGUUUUGACAACUGCGCGUCUGAUUCGCACAAAGCAUUCUCCUGACAGCGGCUGGUCAGGUGGCGAAGAGUAUGCUCCUCGUGCUGAUGUCACUGUUCAUUUGCUAAAUGGCACCACUGCAAAGGGCGAUCUGGUCUACUAUCAGCCCCAUUACGGUAUCACUUUCUUGAAUGUUGAAGUGGAUCAACCAAUCAAGUUACCAUCUUUUUGUGAAGAAGAUGUAAAAUUUGCUCAAGAUGUUUUUCGGCUCGGAAGAGACGAUUCCUUAAAUCUAAGGAUAACAUAUGCUAGGGCAGAAUAUAAGAAUCCAAACAUGUAUCGGCGGUACCACAAUGUGUAUUUCCGUUCUCCAGACGAGCAUGGUGAUGAUAAUGAGUAUGACAAUGGGGGCCUAGUCAUUGACUUGAAUGAAAACGUUGUCGGAAUGGUCAACGUCCCUAAGAGAUUUGGGUCUUUUAUACCUUCUUCCAUUUUGCUCAACUGUUUGGAUUCAUGGAAGAAAUAUCGGAUAUCGGUAACUGGUAGCAUAUGGUUGGGUGUUGAGUAG
rnacentral:rRNA from 1 species